rnacentral:rRNA from 1 species
CUAUAGAGGCGUUUUCCGUGCCGGACCGUGUCCAAGUUCCUUGGAACAGGAUAUCAAAGAGGGUGACAAUCCCGUACUUGACACGACGACCGGUGCUCUGUGAUACGUCUUCUACGAGUCGAGUUGUUUGGGAAUGCAGCUCAAAAUGGGUGGUGAGUUCCAUCUAAAGCUAAAUAUUGGCGAGAGACCGAUAGCGAACAAGUACCGUGAGGGAAAGAUGAAAAGCACUUUGGAAAGAGAGUUAAACAGUACGUGAAAUUGUUGAAAGGGAAACGAUUGAAGUCAGUCGUGACCGAGAGGCUCAGCCGGUUCUGCCGGUGUAUUCCCCUCGGUCGGGUCAACAUCAGUUUUGUCCGGUGGAUAAGGGCGGUAGGAAGGUGGCACCCUCGGGUGUGUUAUAGCCUGCCGUCGCAUACAUCGGGUGAGACUGAGGAACGCAGCUCGCCUUUAUGGCCGGGGUUCGCCCACGUCCGAGCUUAGGAUGUUGACAUAAUGGCUUUAAACGACCCGUCUUG